rnacentral:misc_RNA from 1 species
GAAAGGGGAGCAAUCCCUGAGUACAGUGGCGUGCGGGUGAGUAACACGUGGAUGAUCUACCUUCUAGUGGGGAAUAACCCUGGGAAACCGGGGCUAAUACCGCAUAAGCUCGGGAGAGGAAAGCAGCAAUGCGCUGGAAGAGGAGUCCGCGGCCGAUUAGCUAGUUGGCAGGGUAAAAGCCUACCAGGGGAAAAAUCGGUAGCUGGUCUGAGAGGAUGAUCAGCCACACUUUCUCUUCAACACGNCGAGGACUCCUACGUANAUCGUAUGUGAAAUUUCUCCCCAUCUCCGGCA